CUCCGCGCCCACGGGCUGCGGUCCAGCUCCCUGCCUUCCCCGCCCUGGCAGGCAGAGCCACCCCUCGGGGUGCAGGGGGCCCCGCUACACGGGCUGCGGUCCAGCUCCCUGCCUUCCCCGCCCUGGCAGGCAGAGCCACCCCCUGAGAGCUGGGCUGGCACCAGCAAAACACGGUCGCUGGGUUGGGAUGGGGUGAAGCGGGGCCGCCCCCAGGAUGGGUGUGCUAAGCUAAAGCCAAAGAGUUCAGCCCUAGGGGGGAGGGGGGAACCUAUAACCUGAGCUCCACUGCCCAGGGCUGAAGCCUUUGGGCAUCGCCUUUCGGCCUGGGCGGUGGGGCAUGGCCUUCAGGCCUAGGCCCUAGCAAGUCUAAUGCCAGCCCUGGCAACUCCAUUAAAAUGGGGUCAUGAUCCACUUUGGAGUCCUAACCGAGUUUGAGAACUGCUGCACUAGGGAUACCCAACAUUUGCUAUCUCUAAAACAGCUGUGCAUGCACCACUGCAUUUACUUCAGAGUGACGUGUUGUACAGACUGGUCAAUAAGUCUGGCAAAAGGUUUACAGCUGUGCUACAGGCACUGACUUUCCAAUGUGUUGGAGGGUGCUUGACCCCGCCACCUCUACCCUCAGCUCCACCCUCCCGUCUUUCCACCCCAUUCCACCCCCCAAGCACACCUUGUACUUUCUCCUCCCUCUUUUCCCCCCAGAGCCUCCUGCAUGCCACGAAACAGCUGAUUGCAGCAGGCAUGCCACUGGAGGACAUAACAAUCCUGGAGGUUCCUGUCUGCAAAGGGACAUAGGAGCAACCCACCCAUGUAUACCAAAGAUGUUUUCAAGUUUAUGGUAACUGAGCAACACAUCUACAAAUGGAAUGGCUGGUGACUUACAGAUGGAGGCCCGGAAGACAUGCCCUUUCCCAAAAUGUUACUACCCAUCUGGAGUGCCUACUCUGGGAAAAAGUUUGCAGCUAUCAGCACCAUGCAUUGGUCAAAAUUCUUGGUGGGAUUAACAGGGUGUUGUGCUAGCAUCCACUUGGCUUACUGCCUCCCUGUAAGCUGCUGAAGUCUCUCUGCAUUCAUGCAGUUACCCGGGUGCAGCUAUGGCUUAUGAUAUCACCUGCUCAGACUAUAUCUACCUAUGGACCACAAACAAACACACGGGACAAUACAGACUCUCAGAGAACUGCACAGCCAUCACCGCCCCCUCCCCCCCUUUGCCAGCACAUUUCUGGACUGCAUACAAACCCCCUCCCCGCCACAUACACACCAUAUUUCAGACAGGAUUUCCCAUCCCCCAUACAGUUUACAGUUUAGCUUGAUCAAUUUGUACAGUGUGGCUUACUAUAAAAGAAAGCAAUAUAAAAGUUCUUAUUUUUAAUACCAAAAGCACAUCUUUGUAAGAAUGUGAGAGUAUCUAGUAAAAAUGUCAUUGUA